rnacentral:rRNA from 1 species
UAGUCGAAUGGGCUGGGCCGCAAAAGGUUUUUGCUGGCUCCUUGGCUCGCGAGUGGCGGACGGGUGAGGAAUACAUCGGAAUCUACUCUGUCGUGGGGGAUAACGUAGGGAAACUUACGCUAAUACCGCAUACGACCUACGGGUGAAAGCAGGGGAUCUUCGGACCUUGCGCGAUUGAAUGAGCCGAUGUCGGAUUAGCUAGUUGGCGGGGUAAAGGCCCACCAAGGCGACGAUCCGUAGCUGGUCUGAGAGGAUGAUCAGCCACACUGGAACUGAGACACGGUCCAGACUCCUACGGGAGGCAGCAGUGGGGAAUAUUGGACAAUGGGCGCAAGCCUGAUCCAGCCAUACCGCGUGGGUGAAGAAGGCCUUCGGGUUGUAAAGCCCUUUUGUUGGGAAAGAAAUCCAGCUGGCUAAUACCCGGUUGGGAUGACGGUACCCAAAGAAUAAGCACCGGCUAACUUCGUGCCAGCAGCCGCGGUAAUACGAAGGGUGCAAGCGUUACUCGGAAUUACUGGGCGUAAAGCGUGCGUAGGUGGUCGUUUAAGUCCGUUGUGAAAGCCCUGGGCUCAACCUGGGAACUGCAGUGAUACUGGACGACUAGAGUGUGGUAGAGGGUAGCGGAAUUCCUGGUGUAGCAGUGAAAUGCGUAGAGAUCAGGAGGA